AUUGAACGCUGGCGGCAGGCCUAACACAUGCAAGUCGAGCGGAUGAAGGGAGCUUGCUCCUGGAUGCAGCGGAGGACGGGUGAGUAAUGCCUAGGAAUCUGCCUGAUCGCGGGGGCUAACGUCCGGAAACGGGCGCUAAUACCGCAUACGUCGUGAGGGAGAAAGUGGGGGAUCUUCGGAACUCACGCUAUCAGAUGAGACUAGGUCGGAUUAGCUAGUUGGCGGGGUAAAGGCCUACCAAGGCGACGAUCCGUAACUGGUCUGAGAGGAUGAUCAGUCACACUGGAACUGAGACACGGUCCAGACUCCUACGGGAGGCAGCAGUGGGGAAUAUUGGACAAUGGGCGAAAGCCUGAUCCAGCCAUGCCGCGUGUGUGAAGAAGGUCUUCGGAUUGUAAAGCACUGUAAGUUGGGAGGAAGGGCAGUAAGUUAAUACCUUGCUGUUUUGACGGUACCAACAGAAUAAGCACCGGCUAACUUCGUG
rnacentral:rRNA from 1 species